UGAACGACUCUCGGCAACGGAUAUCUCGGCUCUUGCAUCCAUGAAGAACGUAGCGAAAUGCGAUACUUGGUAAUAAUUGCAAAAUCCUGUGAACCAUCGAGUCUUUGAACGCAAGUUUGGCCCGAGGCCUUCUGGUCGAGGGCACAUCUGCCUGGGCGUCACGC
rnacentral:rRNA from 1 species